rnacentral:rRNA from 1 species
AUUGAACGCUGGCGGCAGGCCUAACACAUGCAAGUCGAGCGGAUGAAGAGAGCUUGCUCUCUGAUUCAGCGGCGGACGGGUGAGUAAUGCCUAGGAAUCUGCCUGGUAGUGGGGGACAACGUUUCGAAAGGAACGCUAAUACCGCAUACGUCCUACGGGAGAAAGUGGGGGAUCUUCGGACCUCACGCUAUCAGAUGAGCCUAGGUACGAUUAGCUAGUUGGUGAGGUAAAGGCUCACCAAGGCGACGAUCGUUAACUGGUCUGAGAGGAUGAUCAGUCACACUGGAACUGAGACACGGUCCAGACUCCUACGGGAGGCAGCAGUGGGGAAUAUUGGACAAUGGGCGAAGGCCUGAUCCAGCCAUGCCGCGUGUGUGAAGAAGGUCUUCGGAUUGUAAAGCACUUUAAGUUGGGAGGAAGGGUAGUAAGUUAAUACCUUGCUGUUUUGACGUUACCGACAGAAUAAGCACCGGCUAACUUCGUGCCAGCAGCCGCCGUAAGAC